UACGUAGGUCCCGAGCGUUGUCCGGAUUUAUUGGGCGUAAAGCGAGCGCAGGUGGUUUAUUAAGUCUGGUGUAAAAGGCAGUGGCUCAACCAUUGUAUGCAUUGGAAACUGGUAGACUUGAGUGCAGGAGAGGAGAGUGGAAUUCCAUGUGUAGCGGUGAAAUGCGUAGAUAUAUGGAGGAACGCCGGUGGCGAAAGCGGCUCUCUGGCCUGUAACUGACACUGAGGCUCGAAAGCGUGGGGAGCAAACAGG
rnacentral:rRNA from 1 species